rnacentral:rRNA from 1 species
UACAGAGGCGACCAGCGUUGUUCGGAUUUACUGGGCGUAAAGCGUGCGCAGGCGGCCGACCUUGUCGGAUGUGAAAGCCCGGGGCUCAGCCCCGGAAGUGCAUCCGAAACCGGACGGCUGGAGACCGGGAAGGGAGUCUGGAACACAUUGUGUAGCGGUGAAAUGCGUUGAUAUCAUGUGGAACACCGGAAGCGAAGGCGAGACUCUGGAACGGAUCUGACGCUCAUGCACGAAAGCGUGGGGAGCGAAC